rnacentral:misc_RNA from 1 species
UUCGAGCGUCAUUUCAACCCUCAAGCUUCAGCUUGGUAUUGGGUGCCACCAGCUUGGUGCGCCUUAAAAUCAGUGGCGGUGCAUCUGGCUUCAAGCGUAGUAAUACUUCUCGCUCUGGAGGCCCAGGUGUUUGCUUGCCAAAACCCCCAUACUUUCUCAAGGUUGACCUCGGAUCAGGUAGGGAUACCCGCUGAACUUAA